rnacentral:rRNA from 1 species
UAGGGAAUCUUCGGCAAUGGGGGCAUCCCUGACCGAGCAACGCCGCGUGAGUGAAGAAGGUUUUCGGAUCGUAAAGCUCUGUUGUAAGAGAAGAACGUGUGUGAGAGUGGAAAGUUCACACAGUGACGGUAACUUACCAGAAAGGGACGGCUAACUACGUGCCAGCAGCCGCGGUAAUACGUAGGUCCCGAGCGUUGUCCGGAUUUAUUGGGCGUAAAGCGAGCGCAGGCGGUUUAAUAAGUCUGAAGUUAAAGGCAGUGGCUUAACCAUUGUUCGCUUUGGAAACUGUUAAACUUGAGUGCAGAAGGGGAGAGUGGAAUUCCAUGUGUAGCGGUGAAAUGCGUAGAUAUAUGGAGGAACACCGGUGGCGAAAGCGGCUCUCUGGUCUGUAACUGACGCUGAGGCUCGAAAGCGUGGGGAGCAAACAGG